rnacentral:rRNA from 1 species
AUUGAACGCUGGCGGCAUGCCUUACACAUGCAAGUCGAACGGUAACGCGGGGCAACCUGGCGACGAGUGGCGAACGGGUGAGUAAUGCAUCGGAACGUGCCCAGUAGUGAGGGAUAGCCCGGCGAAAGCCGGAUUAAUACCGCAUACGACCUAUGGGUGAAAGCGGGGGACCGAAAGGCCUCGCGCUAUUGGAGCGGCCGAUGUCAGAUUAGGUUGUUGGUGGGGUAAAGGCCUACCAAGCCGACGAUCUGUAGCUGGUCUGAGAGGACGACCAGCCACACUGGGACUGAGACACGGCCCAGACUCCUACGGGAGGCAGCAGUGGGGAAUUUUGGACAAUGGGCGCAAGCCUGAUCCAGCCAUGCCGCGUGCGGGAAGAAGGCCUUCGGGUUGUAAACCGCUUUUGUCAGGGAAGAAACGCGCUGGGUUAAUACCUCGGCGUAAUGACGGUACCUGAAGAAUAAGCACCGGCUAACUACGUGCCAGCAGCCGCCGUAAAAC